AAAGGACUCCAAGCCCAUCAAAUCCGGCUGAUCCCCACCUUGUCACCAGCCCAGAGCACUGAGUGCCACACCCAGGCCUUCCUUGGACACCUCCAGAUUCCUCCAGACUCCUGGGCAGCCCCUUCCAAUGUUUAACAUCUCUUUCCUUGAAGAAAUUCUUCCUGAUGUCCAGCCUGACCCUCUCCUGGUACAGCUUGUUUGCUGAGUUUGGGUCAGAGCUUGUGCUUGCAGCCCCAGUUAACCUUUCUGCAAGGAAAAACCCAACCUAAGCAGCAGAAAAUGUCAGGAAAAUUAUGUUAAUUUGCAGAGUGAAUUUUCUUCAGGACCUCAAAGAAGGACUCUGAAGGAGCUGAGACCUGAAUCUCAGACACAGGACCCAUCCAAAGGAGAUCAUCUCAAAGGAAACUGGUGGCUUUUUUGGGUUCUCUGCUGGAGAAACUGUUUGGAGCUGGCCAGCAAAAGCACUUCCAAAAGCUCUCAAAGUCAUUUCCACCCAGAACCUCGAGAUUUCCAAGGAUCCUGUCCAAAACUCUGCAGGAUCAAGCUUUGUACCUGCCCUUCCUGGUGCAAGGAACUCGAUCAGGGUCAGAGAUGCUGCAGCCACACACAGGCUGAAAUCCAAGGCCCUCUGGAGUCAGUGGGAACUUUGCCACUGGAUGUCAAGAGUUUUAGGAAGCCAACCAAGCAGAAAACCCCAAAUCUAAAUGGCUCAACGUAUUCAGCUCUGUCAGAAUGUUCAGCACUGCUCCUGGUUGGAAAAUGCUUUAUUGUGCCAUGGAAAUUUAUAAGGAGAAAGGGGUGGGAGGGGAGAGGUUUGUAGAUUUGUUGUUGCCAGCUCAGUCCUUGAUGGAAAUCCUCCCUGGAGAAGGGAGAGGGCAGACCCAGGGACCUGGCACAGUCAGCCACAGAAAUUCAGUCCCACAGAGUGAGACUUGCAGAAAUUUCCUCAAAUAAGAUUCCAGCAUUCGCUUUCCAGAAGUUUAACUCAUGGGCAGGCUGGUGCAUCCCAAUGGCUCUGCUGAAUUCAAUAACGUGGGAAGAAAGUUGCUUUUCUGGGCAAAUAAAAACGUGAGGUUGUGCCCUGGGUUUAACA
rnacentral:lncRNA from 1 species